UUGCUUGCGGCCAACCCCCUGUUGUAGAAAAUGCCAAGACCUUUGGAAAGAUGAAACCACGUUAUGAAAUCAACUCCUUGAUUAGAUACCACUGCAAAGAUGGUUUCAUUCAGCGUCACCUUCCAACUAUCCGGUGCCUAGGAAAUGGGAGAUGGGCAAUGCCUAAAAUAACCUGCAUGAACCGUAAGUGGUCCUUUAGAAAGAAUGGACAACCGUGCUUUAACAAAUACUAGACACCUACAUUUUACGGCUGUGGUAUCAGUAGUGUAGGGUAUGGAGCAAGUAAUACUGUUGUGUUUUCUUUCUUUCUUUGUUUUCUUCCAUGUAGCAUCUGCAUACCAAAGGACUUAUUCUAAGAAAUACUUAAAAAAUUCCUCAUCAGUCAAGGACAAUUCUAUAAAUACGUCAAAACAUGAGCAUCGCUGGAGCCGGAGGUGGCAGGAAACGAGGCGCUGAUCCUAAAAUGGCGAACAUAAGCUUCAUUCAUCAUUUCAGCCAAAGCCCUGCCUUUCCGUGCCUUUCCUAUCACCUCAAGGAGAAUUAGCAGUUGGUUUGGAUUUUGGGACUGCCGUCUGGUCAUUUGGGGUGGCUGUAUUCCUAAAAUAUUUUCAAUGAAACAUGGAAUUUUGAAAAAAAAAAGCGAAUAAAAUGAAAGAAAAUGAGCGAAGAAGAUAACCAUUUUCAGCCUAUCUAAUUUCUUUAGUUCUCUCUCUGCCUCCAGUGCAGACUGUUUCCUGUACACCAGCCUACUGUACUAUUUAAAAAACAAAACAAAACAAAACGCAAUAUCAGCACCGAUGGCCAUGUAAAUAAGAUGAUUUAAUGUUGAUUUUAAUCCUGUAUAUAAAAUAAAACGUCAUACUUGGUUCAGGCAUAUUUAAUGAUGAUUACGGAGCUUUCAAGGUCUUCGAUCAUUGGCUUGGCUGCUUUGCUUAGGCUGGAAAUGGUUUUGUCUACCCUUUGACUGUCAGCAAGUUUGAGGACGGCUUUUCUGGACAACCGGCAAACAGAAUCUUGCAGGUCUCUGCACGCAUGUCAGCCACGGGAGUCACGCUGAUGCCUGGCUGAUAAAACUC
rnacentral:lncRNA from 1 species